rnacentral:misc_RNA from 1 species
UUGAUCAAGGCAGAACAGAGUUUCGCUAAGCGGUAGGGUGGCGCUGGCGUUGUUCGGCUGUCCAAUAUGGCCGGGGGUAUCUGCGUCAUGGAGUGAUUCUUAUCCCGUGAAAGUGUAAAUCAGUGCGAUAAUCACACGCUAUGCCGAUAAUCAAGAGGUUAAUAAAUAGCGAAAUGUAAUUUGAAGAAUAAGACUCGGAAAGAACGGAAAAUACCUCACCGUUGUCAUCAAUUACGAGAACGAGUACCGUACGACGUAGACACCAAUUUCUUUUCCUGGGGGGGUUUUCGACUCGUCAUUUGAUGACCGUGAAAUAAAUACGGAGAUUCAUCGUCGUCGAGUCAUUAAUUCACUGCAAGCUUUUAUGCAUCGUCA